CAUAUAGGUUGGUUGUCCUCUUAACCAAGGAGUGUAGAGACACUGGUAUGGCAUACAGGUGAGAUGUAAGGGUACAUCUGCACUGAACAUGACCGACUCCGGAGCUAUCUCUGCUGUCAAGAUUUGCUCCGAUGGGAUAUAGAUAUAAAUGUCCCUCCGACCUGAGACCGCCAUGGUGACUUGCAAGUAACUCACUGCACUUAGGCACUGGACUACCUGAAUUUCUAAUUCAGUGACGGAAGGCUGCUGGGUGUAGUCAAGUACUU
rnacentral:lncRNA from 1 species